CCCUUAGAUGUUCUGGGCUGCACGCGCGCUACACUGAUGCACUCAACGAGUUUACGACCUUGCCCGAUAGGGUUGGGUAAUCUUUUUAAAAUGCAUCGUGAUGGGGAUAGAUUAUUGCAAUUAUUAAUCUUCAACGAGGAAUUCCUAGUAAGCGCGAGUCAUCAGCUCGUGCUGAUUACGUCCCUGCCCUUUGUACACACCGCCCGUCGCUCCUAUCGAUUGAGUGCUCAGGUGAAUAAUUCGGACUGCAGCAAUGUUUGGAUCCCGAACGUUGCAGCGGAAAGUUUAGUGAACCUUAUCACUUAGAGGAAGGAGAAGUCGUAACA
rnacentral:rRNA from 1 species